UACGGGGGGGGCAAGCGUUGUUCGGAAUUACUGGGCGUAAAGGGCUCGUAGGCGGCCAACUAAGUCAGACGUGAAAUCCCUCGGCUUAACCGGGGAACUGCGUCUGAUACUGGAUGGCUUGAGUGUAGGAGAGGGAUGCGGAAUUCCAGGUGUAGCGGUGAAAUGCGUAGAUAUCUGGAGGAACACCGGUGGCGAAGGCGGCAUCCUGGACCGACACUGACACUGAGGAGCGAAAGCCAGGGGAGCAAACGGG
rnacentral:rRNA from 1 species